UCCCGCCUGCCCAGUGACUAUUUAAACGGCCGCGGUAUCCUAACCGUGCAAAGGUAGCAUAAUCACUUGUCCCCUAAAUAGGGACUGGUAUGAAUGGCUAAAUGAGGACUAAACUGUCUCUUGCGGACUGGCCAAUGAAAUUGAUUUUCCAGUACAAAAGCUGGAAUGUACUCAUAAGACGAGAAGACCCUGUGGAGCUUCAAAACCAAAUCACCCAGCAUGUUCAUUGGAUUUUUAGUUGGGGCGACUUCGGAAUAUAAUAAAACUUCCAAAAUAAAUUAAUUCCAUCAAGAUUAACACACCAAAAUUUCUUUAUAGAUCCAGCAAAUAAUUUUAUUUAUCUGAUCAAUGAACCAAGUUACCCCAGGGAUAACAGCGCAAUCUCCUUUUAGAGUCCAUAUCGACAAGGGGGUUUACGACCUCGAUGUUGGAUCAGGACACCCCAAUGGUGCAGCCGCCAUUAAAGGUUCGUUUGUUCAACGAUUAACAGUCCUACGUGAUCUGAGUUCAGACCGGA
rnacentral:rRNA from 1 species